rnacentral:lncRNA from 1 species
UCUGGGUGGCUAUGAUGCAAGGCCAUUUUAGCUGGGUAUAAACGGGGUCUCCAGAAAUAGAGCACUUGAUUCUCUUUAAAAUUGAAAGUGUUUAUGCCUGAGAAGAAACUGAAGAAACUGAAUUCUAAUCAGGCAAGAGAUGUGCUUAUGUGUAUAAAGAACAAAAAACAAAACAAAACAAAAAAAAAAAAAAAACCACAUUUAGCCUGGAGGCCGACUGAACAAAGACAGAGCAGUGUGGAGAAAGGUAACCUGGCCUGUGGAAAAAGCAGCAUGAUUCAUGACAAAUUCCAAAUUGUACAGCAACCUUCCUGCU